CAAAUAGAACAAUUAAAUUCUAUGCAAAACUAAGACCACACUCCACAGUGGGCUGUGCCACUCAUCAUAGCUCACUACUAUUUUGUGGCCUACAUU